rnacentral:misc_RNA from 1 species
AUUUUUAUUACAAACACAAAUAAUUUUUUUUUCCUUAUUUUAUUUGAAAUAUUUAUUUUAGGAAUUUUUUUCUCCCAUUUUUUUAUCAAAACACCUUAAACCGUCCCUUGAACUGCCCCAAACUGCUCGUUGAGCCGCCCAAACCACCCAUCUCUAAACCGCCUAUUAAACCAUUUCAAACCGGAGUUCGAACCGAAAAUAGCGGUUCACGAACUGCACCCCAAACUGUCCCUUAGCAGUUCAGUUCAGGUUCAAUAUUUCUCUUAACCUAAACCGGUGGUUCCUGAACCGUAGCCACUCCUACCCUGUAUAUUAUCCUUACAAAUGUGAUUUUUCCUAAAUGACAUAAUUAAUAUUCCAAUUACUAUACAAAUAAAGAUCUAAUGGGUCGAUUACACUCAACAAAAACUAAUAUUGAUCUCAAUCCCCUUUUUCUAAAUUUUGAUCGAUACACAAUUAUAGGUAGGUGUUGAUUUAUUUUUGAUACCAGUUUUAAUCUUCUUUUUUUUUAAUUUCUAUGUAGAUUCCACUUUCACGAUAGCAAAUUGGAAAUAUGGCAACAUAUCUACAGUGGGAUCCUAUUUAAUAUUUAUAGCAUUACAGAACCUUGACUCAAAUAUCCCAUACUUUAGCCAGAUACAUGUGUCGGGGAAAGGUGGAAAAGAUCCAUGCAACAUCCAUCUUUAUUCUUCUAAAUUAUGAGAUCUCAUUCAGUACCUUUAAAGGAAUAAUGAGAUCUAUAAAUACGUUUUUAUAAGUUGCAUAUAACCUAGAAAAUAUUGAUGAUCAAGCCAGUUUCCUAAACAGACUCGAUGAAACUUUAAGAAUUGUGGCAGUAUUGCCUAUCAUAUCUUUCUUCUUCAGAAACAAAAAUAUAAAACUAAAAUAAACAAAAUACUCAACAUAGAAGAUCACGAAGGCAGCUAAAAGUAUUCAGCACAAAGCAACUUGGGUUCAGUCAUAUUGCAAUGUGGCUUCAAUUACAUUCCAGUUUUUGGACGCAAGUUGUCCAAGACAGAAAACUCAUAUCAGUCUCGAAUAAGACAACCCUCCAUACAUCCAUUUUGAUCUUCUAAAAUAUUCUCGAUUAUGCUUCUCCAUAAGCAGCAUAAGGUUAAAUUUGAAUUGCAGAAAAUUUGCAACCUUAAAGAUACCUUUGCAACACAUGGCAGGCAACAAGUACACAUAACCUGUUACACCUUUUCUGCAUCCUCAUCAGAUGUUGAUGGACAUGUCGUUUGUAAAAACUAUUCCUAGUUACAAGAAUUUCAUUCCAGUAAAUCUAUUAUCACGUAAAACUUUCAAACAUUCACUGGGCACUGAUCCAAUAAUUAGUAACCUCAAUCACUAAGUAAGGACAUUAAUAUUCCAUCAUAUUAACUUUCAGUUGAUUGCCAUAGUUACGUGUCACCAUAUUCAUCAAAAUUAAAGCACAAGCAAAUCAGAAACUAAUUAAAACCCAAAGCACUAUGCUAGACCAGUAGCAACAGAGUAAAUGCGGCUUGAGAAGUCCUACUCCAAUGAAGUUCAUGCUUUAGGGAUUCAUAAGUUCCCUAAUCUAAACAUAAGAGAAAUACUAAUAAACAAAGCCUCGCAGAACAAAUGAAUGGAAUUCAGUGUUAUACAGAGACAUUAUACAGUGAGCCAAAAAUGAUCGAAUUAACAAAUUGAUAACAUUGUACCUUGGCUUU